UACGUAGGGUGCAAGCGUUGUCCGGAAUUAUUGGGCGUAAAGAGCUCGUAGGCGGUUUGUUGCGUCGGCUGUGAAAUCCCGAGGCUCAACCUCGGGUCUGCAGUCGAUACGGGCGGACUUGAGUGUUGCAGGGGAGACUGGAAUUCCUGGUGUAGCGGUGAAAUGCGCAGAUAUCAGGAGGAACACCGGUGGCGAAGGCGGGUCUCUGGGCAACUACUGACGCUGAGGAGCGAAAGCGUGGGGAGCGAACAGG
rnacentral:rRNA from 1 species